rnacentral:rRNA from 1 species
CGGGGAAGACACAGGGAUUGCCCCAGUAACGGCGAGUGAAGCGGCAACAGCUCAAAUUUGAAAUCUGGCCCUCGGGUCCGAGUUGUAAUUUGUAGAGGAUGCUUUUGGCGAGGUGCCUUCCGAGUUCCCUGGAACGGGACGCCAUAGAGGGUGAGAGCCCCGUCUGGUCGGACACCGAGCCUCUGUAAAGCUCCUUCGACGAGUCGAGUAGUUUGGGAAUGCUGCUCAAAAUGGGAGGUAUAUGUCUUCUAAAGCUAAAUAUUGGCCAGAGACCGAUAGCGCACAAGUAGAGUGAUCGAAAGAUGAAAAGCACUUUGAAAAGAGGGUUAAAAAGUACGUGAAAUUGUUGAAAGGGAAGCGCCCAUGACCAGACUUGAGCCCGGUGAAUCAUCCAGCGUUCUCGCUGGUGCACUUUGCCGGGCCCAGGCCAGCAUCAGUUUGGCGCGGGGGAUAAAGGUGACGGGAAUGUGGCUCCCUCGGGAGUGUUAUAGCCCGCUACGUAAUACCCUGCGCCGGACUGAGGUACGCGCAUUGCAAGGAUGCUGGCGUAAUGGUCAUCAGCGACCCGUCUUGAAACACGGACCAAGGAGUCGUCUUCGUAUGCGAGUGUUCGGGUGUCAAACCCCUACGCGUAAUGAAAGUGAACGCAGGUGAGAGCUUCGGCGCAUCAUCGACCGAUCCUGAUGUUCUCGGAUGGAUUUGAGUAAGAGCAUACGGGGCCGGACCCGAAAGAAGGUGAACUAUGCCUGUAUAGGGUGAAGCCAGAGGAAACUCUGGUGGAGGCUCGCAGCGGUUCUGACGUGCGAAUCGAUCGUCAAAUAUGGGCAUGGGGGGCGAAAGACUAAUCGAACCUUCUAGUAGCUGGUUUCCGCCGAGUCUCCCCUCGCGAAAAAGG